GGAGCCGCAGGGCUGGCGCCGGCUGGGCCCUCUCGGGGCUCCUUCUCCGCCCCACCGGCGGCUCGUCAGUGCUCAAACACACCCCAGGCCACCUCACGGUGCCGCAUCGCCGCAGGAGAGGGGCAGCCCUCAGCCCCGUCCCGCUCCCCUGAUAGCCGGCUGUAGGCGCACAAACGCUCAGGCAGUUCUGUGAGGGGGGAAAGGAGUCAUCUGAGGUGAAGGCAGAGCAGACGCACCAGGGGCGCAUCAAAGCUCUUAAGAUGCUUUGAAACGGAAAUUGCGGCCAGGAACAGUGCAGUAAUAGACACCAGAAGCACAGAAGGGAAAUUUUUUCAUCUUCGUAAAAGAGAUUUUUUUUUUCAGUUAGAGCAAUUGAGAGUCCCCAUCAAUGGAAGUUCUGCAGACACAGCUGGGCAGGGGGCUAGAAAAUCCCACCUAGGCUUUCUUUUCCAGGUGGGGCCAGGUGAUGGUGUGAGGUCCCCACCAACCUGGAGUGAUCUGUGAACAUCACAUUUAAAAAAAGAGAUGUAAUUCACCUUGCCCAGGAACCACAAGAACAGUGGCUUUUCAUAAAGUCGUAAGUUUUAAGGAUUCCUUUUCUCUUACCCAGUCUGACUUGUAUUCAAAUCCUCAGUACCUUCAGGAAGGCCCUGGGUUUGUUUUUCUAAGUGUAUUGGGUUUGACUGCACACACAGAAAAGACUUCUCAGCUCUCCCCUUACAGUCUUGGGGUAAGCCAGCCAUAUGAAAGCCAGAAUAAAGGUACAAUCUUAGACAGGCCAUGGAGAAGAGCAAGAGAAAGAAAAAUCCUGACUGCCUUUAACAUCUCAGUUCCAUUGCUUGAGAAGCAGGAGAUGGAGAGCUGGGAACCCAUUUCCCUUCCACCACUGCCAGCAGUGCUCAGCCUCUUCCCACAGCAGAGCACAGGCCUCUCUCGAAUCUGCAGGACAGACAGACACAGGUCCUGGUGCAGGACAGCUGAGUGCACAGACUCAUGUUUAAUGCACAGGAGGAGAACAGGAGCAUCCUGAGAACUUCUGUGUGCAACAAGAGCCCAGGAUCCCCAGCCAGGGCGGGCACCGAGGCAGAAGGAGGGGACAGCUCUGUCUGUGGGCCUGAUCCUGCAGCGCUCGGACCCCAGCGAGUCCUGGUGUCACUGCUCCUCCUGGCUCCAGCCGGCUCGCAUGGAAGAAGUUGCAGGAUGAGGUCAGUCCUUAGCUAACGUUGUCAUUUGGUAAUUUGUUUAAAUAAAUAAGUUUAAACAAGAAAUACGUAGGAGAGGAGAAUCAGAAAGAAGAGUGGGAUGCUACAGUAUUUAAAAGCAAUGGAGUGUCUGUUUUUCCUCUGGUUUAGCAAAUACUCGGUUCCUGAUAUGUCACUUUCUCAAAAGAAAUGAAGAACAUAAAUUUCAAGGAAGGAUACAACCCUUUCCAUGUGAAAUGUAUAAAUUGCUUCAAAAAUUUACAAAACAUUUUUGCAAAAUAAUUCAACUCAGAAAGUUGGUGAAUAUUACAGAUAGGUUUUUCUUAACAUAAACUUUGCUGCUAAA